rnacentral:snRNA from 1 species
GGUGAUGUGAAGGUGAUUGAUUGAGACAUUUGACACCUACUGGCUAAUAGGGUUGAUGCAACUGAUCCAACUGGCUAAGCAGGUGUCUUCUUCCUCUGUCAUCCCUCCAUACUCAUCUUGUCCAAAUCUGUACACUCAGUUCAAGAGGAAAACCUUCCCAGAUAGAGGAGGACCCUCUUUUGGUCAAAGGUGUAUACCAGGAGAUGCACGCCCCAGCUAAAAUUGCCAGAUAAGCUCUCAAGGUCCAACAGUUCAGGAAGCUAAAUGUGUGGGGUGAAUUCCCACGCCUUCCUCUGCAGGGAUUUUUUUUUUUUUUUUUUUUNUUUUUUUUUUAAGGCUUAUUUAUUAUGU